UAGCUAGUUGGUAAGGUAACGGCUUACCAAGGCAAUGAUGCAUAGCCGAGUUGAGAGACUGAUCGGCCACAUUGGGACUGAGACACGGCCCAAACUCCUACGGGAGGCAGCAGUAGGGAAUCUUCCACAAUGGACGCAAGUCUGAUGGAGCAACGCCGCGUGAGUGAAGAAGGUUUUCGGAUCGUAAAGCUCUGUUGUUGGUGAAGAAGGAUAGAGGUAGUAACUGGCCUUUAUUUGACGGUAAUCAACCAGAAAGUCACGGCUAACUACGUGCCAGCAGCCGCGGUAAUACGUAGGUGGCAAGCGUUGUCCGGAUUUAUUGGGCGUAAAGCGAGCGCAGGCGGAAGAAUAAGUCUGAUGUGAAAGCCCUCGGCUUAACCGAGGAACUGCAUCGGAAACUGUUUUUCUUGAGUGCAGAAGAGGAGAGUGGAACUCCAUGUGUAGCGGUGGAAUGCGUAGAUAUAUGGAAGAACACCAGUGGCGAAGGCGGCUCUCUGGUCUGCAACUGACGCUGAGGCUCGAAAGCAUGGGUAGCGAACAGGAUUAGAUACCCUGGUAGUCCAUGCCGUAAACGAUGAGUGCUAAGUGUUGGGAGGUUUCCGCCUCUCAGUGCUGCAGCUAACGCA
rnacentral:rRNA from 1 species